GACGAACGCUGGCGGCGUGCUUAACACAUGCAAGUCGAACGGAAAGGCCCUGCUUUUGUGGGGUGCUCGAGUGGCGAACGGGUGAGUAACACGUGAGUAACCUGCCCUUGACUUUGGGAUAACUUCAGGAAACUGGGGCUAAUACCGGAUAGGAGCUCCUGCUGCAUGGUGGGGGUUGGAAAGUUUCGGCGGUUGGGGAUGGACUGGCGGCUUAUCAGCUUGUUGGUGGGGUAGUGGCUUACCAAGGCUUUGACGGGUAGCCGGCAUGAGAGGGUGAACGGCCACAAGGGGACUGCGGUAGGGCCCAGACUGCAACGGUAGGCAGUAGUGGGGAACAUUGCAGAAUGGGCGGAAGCGUGAGGCAGCAAUGUCGCGUGCGGGAUGACGUCCUUUGGGUUGUAAACCGCUUUCGCCUGUGACGAAGCGUGAGUGACGGUAACGGGUAAAGAAGCACCGGCUAACUACGUG
rnacentral:rRNA from 1 species